rfam:Oesophagostomum dentatum strain OD-Hann O_dentatum-1.0_Cont19776.2, whole genome shotgun sequence.
UGGGGUAUAGCUCAGUGGUAGAGCGCUCCCUUAGCAUGGGAGAGGGUUGGGGUUCAAUUCCCCAUACCUCCA